CCUACGGGGGCUGCAGUGGGGAAUAUUGGACAAUGGGCGAAAGCCUGAUCCAGCCAUGCCGCGUGUGUGAAGAAGGCCUUCGGGUUGUAAAGCACUUUCAGUGGGGAAGAAAGCCUUGGGGCUAAUACCCUCGAGGAAGGACAUCACCCACAGAAGAAGCACCGGCUAACUCCGUGCCAGCAGCCGCGGUAAUACGGAGGGUGCGAGCGUUAAUCGGAAUUACUGGGCGUAAAGCGCGCGUAGGCGGUCUGAUAAGCCGGUUGUGAAAGCCCCGGGCUCAACCUGGGAACGGCAUCCGGAACUGUCAGGCUAGAGUGCAGGAGAGGAAGGUAGAAUUCCCGGUGUAGGGGUGAAAUGCGUAGAGAUCGGGAGGAAUACCAGUGGCGAAGGCGGCCUUCUGGACUGACACUGACGCUGAGGUGCGAAAGCGUGGGUAGCAAACAGGAUUAGAUACCCAGUAGUC
rnacentral:rRNA from 1 species